CAGCCGCCGCGGUAAUACAGAGGGUGCUAGCGUUGAUCGGAUUUACUGGGCGUAAAGCGUGCGUAGGCGGCUUCUUAAGUCGGAUGUGAAAUCCCUGAGCUUAACUUAGGAAUUGCAUUCGAUACUGGGAAGCUAGAGUAUGGGAGAGGAUGGUAGAAUUCCAGGUGUAGCGGUGAAAUGCGUAGAGAUCUGGAGGAAUACCGAUGGCGAAGGCAGCCGUCUGGCCUAAUACUGACGCUGAGGUACGAAAGCAUGGGGAGCAAACAGGAUUAGAUACCCGUGUAGUCCCUGUCUCUUAUAC
rnacentral:rRNA from 1 species